GAGCGAGUGGACAAGGGCGCACGGGGGAUGCCUGUGGCUCACGGAGGCGACGAAGGGCGCGGCAGGCCGCGAAAGGCCGCGGGGAGGCGCGAGCAGCCGGGGAUCCGCGGACACCCGAAUGGGGCAACCCGCCGCACGGGAGGUGCGGCAUCCGCCUUAGGGGCGGAGGCGAACCCGCCGAACUGAAACAUCUAAGUAGGCGGAGGAAAGGAGAACAACAGUGACUCCCCGAGUAGCGGCGAGCGAAAGGGGACCAGCCCAAACCGGGGGCGUCGAGGCGCGCCCGGGGUUGUAGGGCUGCCGUAGAGGAAGCUGCGCGCGCAGCGGAACCCGCAUGGGAAGGCGGGCCGUAGAGGGUGAGAGCCCCGUACGCGAAGCGCGCGCGAACCUGGCAGUACCCUGAGUAGGGCGGGGCCGGAGGAACCCUGUCCGAAGCAGGCGGCACCAUCCGCCAAGGCUAAGCACUACCGUGAGACCGAUAGCGAACGAGUACCGUGAGGGAAAGGUGAAAAGCACCGCGAGGAGCGGAGUGAAAGAGACCCUGAAACCGUGCGCCUGCAAGCGGUCGGAGCCACUUUUUAGUGGUGACGGCGUGCCUUUUGCAUAAUGAGCCUACGAGUCGCUCGUCGGCGGCGAGGGGGAGCGCCUGGAGGCGCGGACCCGGAGCGAGAGCGAGCCCGAAGAGGGCGCGGAGUCGCCGGCGGCGGACGCGAAACUUUGCGAUCUACCCCAGGGCAGGCUGAAGGCGCCGUGACAGGCGCUGGAGGGCCGAACCGGUGAGCGUUGAAAAGCUUUCGGACGACCUUGGGGUAGGGGUGAAAGGCCAAUCAAGCUGAGAGAUAGCUCGUACUCCCCGAAAUGCCUUUAGGGGCAGCCUCGCGGGAUGCGUCGCGGAGGUAGAGAUACUGAUUGGGCGAGGGGGCUUCGCCGCCUACCGACCCCAGCCAAACUCCGAAUGCCGCGACGGCCACCGCGGGAGUGAGGGGCGGGGUGCUAACGUCCCGUCCCGAGAGGGAAAGAACCCGGACCUUCGUCCAAGGCCCCCAAGUGCGCGCUAAGUUGAACUAACGAGGUCCGCCUGCUGAGACAGCUGGGAUGUUGGCUUGGAAGCAGCCAUUCAUUCAAAGAGUGCGUAACAGCUCACCAGUCGAGCGGGCGGGUGUGGAUAAUGAACGGGCAUGAAGCGCGCCGCCGAAGACAAGGGAUGCGAGAGCAUCGGUAGGGGAGCAUUCCGCCCAGCGCGGAAGCCGCCUCGCGAGGGGCGGUGGAGCGGGCGGAAAAGCAAAUGUAGGCAUGAGUAACGACAAUGCGGGUGCGAAACCCGCACACCGGAAGACCAAGGGUUCCUGAUCAACGCUAAUCGGAUCAGGGUCAGUCGGGGCCUAAGGGGUCGCUGCUGUUGAGGCAGCCCACCCCGAUGGACAACGGGUCAACAUUCCCGUACCCGGCGCGGCUGCGAAGCGGGGACGGAGGACCGGAACCGCCGCCGGCAGACGGAGUUGCCGGUUGAAGCAGGAAGGUAAACGCCGUGGAGUGAAGCACCCAGGGCGUGCCGAGCUGCGACAGUACGCCGACCCUUCGGGGGAGGCGACAGCGCGGGGAAGGCGGCUCCCGAGAAAAGCCGCUAAGCUUCAGGCCGUGCCGGCCCGUACCGGAGACCGACACAGGUGGUCGAGGAGAGUAUCCAAAGGUGCUCGAGUGAGUCACAGCCAAGGAACUAGGCAAAUUUACCCUGUAACUUCGGGAGAAAGGGUCCUCGCGUAAGCGAGGCGCAGAGAAAUGGCCCGGGCGACUGUUUAACAAAAACACAGGGCUAUGCGAAGCCGCAAGGCGAGGUAUAUGGCCCGA
rfam:Haemonchus placei strain MHpl1 genome assembly, scaffold: HPLM_scaffold0008273